UGCGGUACUCGACCGUGCAAAGGUAGCAUAAUCAUUUGCCUUAUAAUUGAAGGCUAGUAUGAAUGGUUUGACGAGAAUCGAGCUGUCUCUCUUCAAUUAAAUAUAAUUUUAUUUACAGGUGAAGAAGCCUGUUUACUAUUGAAAGACAAGAAGACCCUAUCGAGCUUUAAGGAAUUUAGUAAACUUACAACAUAUUUAUAAAAAAGUGAGAUUAUUAAAGACUUUGGUUGGGGCGACUGAGGAACAAACAAAGCUUCCUUUAACUAAGAAAAACUUACAGGUAAUGAUCCAAUAAAAUUGAUCAAAGAAAUUAGUUACCGUAGGGAUAACAGCAUAAUCUCCUUCGAGAGUUCUCAUCGAAAAGGGGGUUUGUGACCUCGAUGUUGGACCAGAAUACCCAGAAGAUGCAGCUGUCUUCAAUGGUUGGUCUGUUCGACCAUUAAA
rnacentral:rRNA from 1 species